AGUCACUGACAUUAGAUACCCGCGUAGUCCCAGCCGUAAACUAUGCUCGCUAGGUGUCAGGGACGGUGCGACCGUUUCUGGUGCCGCAGGGAAGCCGUGAAGCGAGCCACCUGGGAAGUACGGUCGCAAGGCUGAAACUUAAAGGAAUUGGCGGGGGAGCACAACAACGGGUGGAGCUUGCGGUUUAAUUGGAUUCAACGCCGGAAAUCUUACCGGGACCGACAGCAACAUGAAGGCCAAGCUGAAGACUUUGCCGGAUUAGCUG
rnacentral:rRNA from 1 species